AUUGAACGCUGGCGGCAGGCCUAACACAUGCAAGUCGAACGAGUGGCGGACGGGUGAGUAAUGUCUGGGAAACUGCCUGAUGGAGGGGGAUAACUACUGGAAACGGUAGCUAAUACCGCAUACCAUCAGAUGUGCCCAGAUGGGAUUAGCUAGUUGGUGGGGUAACGGCGAACCAAGGCGCCGAUCACGAGCUGGUCUGAGAGGAUGACCAGACACACUGGAACUGAGCCACGGUCCAGACUCCUACGGGAUGCAGCAGUGGGGAAUAGUGCACAAUGGGCGCAAGCCUGAUGCAGCCAUGCCGCGUGUAUGAAGAAGGCCUUAGGGUUGUAAAGUACUUUCAGCGGGGAGGCGUUACCCGCAGAAGAAGCACCGGCUAACUCCGUGCCAGCGGCGGCGGUAAUAC
rnacentral:rRNA from 1 species